rnacentral:lncRNA from 1 species
UCCUGAUUCACCUUGUUUAAUAUUAAUUAUUAACUCUUCUUUAGUUCAAUUAGAAUAAUUAGUAAAUAAUAACACAAGUCUACAAAAAAAUAUUUUUUGAAUUCCAUAUUCAAUGAUAGUUAUACUUGAAGCACUGAUCAAUAAUCUAUCAUUAUUUUUUCCUUAUCCAAUCUGGUACUCGAGAAUUAUCUUUUUUACCUUGCUUAUAGGCUAAAGACUAAGCGUGAACACUAUCGAAUGAUGACUUUUCCGAAAAAAAUAUCAAAUAUAUUUGAUGAUGAUUCAUGCUGUAAUGUUUGGCACGAACCGUUAUUAGAACAAAAAUCAUGAUAACCGUACACUAAUUUAAUUAAUUAAUUAAAAAAGAGAAAAAAUGGACAAUUUGAAUUAAUCAAUCGUUUAGAUAGAAUGUGUUGGAACUCCGGUGUACCUGUUCAAGUCCUGAUUAAAACUCCUCCAACCAGAGAUCUUCUGACUAUAGUUAUUAUCAAAUAUAUUUAUUAUUUUUGUUCGGCAAAGUAUUCUAAAACUGUUUGAAACAACUUUUAAGUAAAAAAAAUAAAAAAUGAUCAUAAUAAUUAA